GGAAAAGUUGCUGAUCCUCAAGUGACUGAUCGAAAGACCAUCAGCAUUAGAAACUUCAAUAAGAAACUUCUUGAGGAUAAGCGAGUUAAUAUCAGUAUGGUACCAAUUGGGGACGGCAUGACAAUAUGUCGCAAAGUAUUACACGGUUCUUCAAGAUCCUGACGCUAAUAACAGGCUAUC